rfam:Daphnia pulex DAPPTscaffold_325_Cont8722, whole genome shotgun sequence.
GCUUUUGUGGCUUAAUGGAUAAGGCACCGACCUCCUAAGCCGUGGAUUACGAGUUUGAGUCUCGCAAGAGGUA